rnacentral:rRNA from 1 species
ACACGUAUCCAACCUGCCGUCUACUCUUGGACAGCCUUCUGAAAGGAAGAUUAAUACAAGAUGGCAUCAUGAGUCCGCAUGUUCACAUGAUUAAAGGUAUUCCGGUAGACGAUGGGGAUGCGUUCCAUUAGAUAGUUGGUGAGGUAACGGCUCACCAAGUCGACGAUCGGUAGCCGGACUGAGAGGUUGAACGGCCACAUUGGGACUGAGACACGGCCCAGACUCCUACGGGAGGCAGCAUG